CUGACGGAGCAACGCCGCGUGAGUGAAGAAGGUCUUCGGAUCGUAAAGCUCUGUUGAUGGGGACGAACGUGCGAAGGGUGAAUAAUCCUUUGCAAUGACGGUACCUAUCGAGGAAGCCACGGCUAACUACGUGCCAGCAGCCGCGGUAAUACGUAGGUGGCGAGCGUUGUCCGGAAUCAUUGGGCGUAAAGGGAGCGCAGGCGGGCAUGUAAGUCUUUCUUAAAAGUUCGGGGCUCAACCCCGUGAUGGGAAAGAAACUACAUGUCUUGAGUACUGGAGAGGAAAGCGGAAUUCCCAGUGUAGCGGUGAAAUGCGUAGAUAUUGGGAGGAACACCAGUGGCGAAGGCGGCUUUCUGGACUGCAACUGACGCUGAGGCUCGAAAGCCAAGGGAGCGAACGGGAUUAGAUACCCCGGUAGUCCUGGCCGUAAACGAUGGAUACUAGGUGUGGGAGGUAUCGACCCCUACCGUGCCGGAGUUAACGCAUAAGUAUCCGCCUGGGAGUACGGUCGCAAGACUGAACUC
rnacentral:rRNA from 1 species